UUAAAUUGAAGAGUUUGAUCAUGGCUCAGAUUGAACGCUGGCGGCAGGCCUAACACAUGCAAGUCGAACGGUAACAG
rnacentral:rRNA from 89 species